AUGGAUUUUUCGCCAAAGUUCCACUCCGAUGGGAGCCUCUCACGAUAUAAAGCCAGGUGGGUUUGUCGUGGCUUUUCUCAGCAACAAGGAAUUGAUUACGAAGAAACCUUCUCUCCUGUUGUUAAACCUAGCACCAUUCGCACCGUUCUUAGUGUUGCUGUCUCCUCUUCAUGGCCCAUUCACCAACUUGAUGUUAAAAAUGCUUUCCUCCAUGGUUCCCUUCAAGAAAAUGUCUACUGCCAGCAACCUCUGGGUUUUGAAAAUCCAUCCUUUCCAACUCAUGUAUGUCUUCUUCAGAAAUCUCUCUACGGUCUUAAACAGGCCCCACGAGCUUGGUUUCAACGCUUCUCCUCCUUCAUUCAAACAAUAGGCUUCACUCCAUCUCUCUCCGGCACCUCUCUUUUUGUGUAUCAUCAAACUUCUGACACUGCCUAUUUACUUCUCUAUGUAGAUGAUAUCAUUCUUACCGCCUCCUCUCAAAAGUUCUUAGAUCAUAUUGUCUCUCUUCUUAGAUCUGAAUUUUCUAUGACUGACCUAGGACUCCUUCAUCAUUUCUUAGGCAUUGCUGUUGUUCGAGAUUCCUCCAGCCUUUUUCUUUCCCAACGCCAGUAUAUUCUUGAUCUUCUUAAUCGUGCUGGUAUGCUUGACUGUCAAUCAUCUCACACUCCUGUCGAUACUAGUUUUAAACUUUCGGCUACCGGUGAACCCUUUUCCGAUCCUACUCUCUAUCAUAGCCUAACAGGUGCUCUCCAAUAUCUCACCAUUACUCGUCCUGAAAUCUCUUUUGCUGUUCAACAAGCAUGUCUCUAUAUGCAUGAUCCCCGGGUUCCUCACUAUAAUCAUGUUAAACGCAUUCUUCGGUAUUUAAAAGGAACUCUCAAUCAUGGUCUCCACCUCAAUAAUUCUUCUCCAAACUCGCUUACCGCAUACUCUGAUGCAGACUGGGCUGGUUGUCCUGACACUCGAAGGUCCACUUCCGGUUUUUGUGUUUUUCCUGGUAACAAUUUGAUUUCUUGGUCUUCGAAAAGACAGGUUACAGUCUCACGUUCGUCGGCCGAGGCUGAGUAUCGCGCUGUGGCACAUGCCGUUGCAGAUACAAUCUGGAUUCGGCAGUUACUCUCCGAGCUACACAGGCCUAUUGAGCAGGCCACUAUUGUCUACUGUGACAACAUAUCAGCAGUCUACAUGACCAGCAAUCCAGUUCAACACCGACACACAAAGCAUAUUGAGAUUGAUAUUCAUUUUGUUCGUGAAAAGGUUGCUCUUGGUCAGGUUCGGGUGCUUCAUGUUCCCUCUACGGCUCAGUUUGCUGACAUUUUCACCAAGGCACUGCCUACUAAGCCGUUUCAAGAUAUCUGUUUCAGUCUCAACGUCGUCGAGCCUGCCGUUGAUACUGCGGGGGGAUGUUAG
rnacentral:rRNA from 1 species